rnacentral:lncRNA from 1 species
CCCUUUCCUUCCUUUCUUUUGGUUUAGAGAAGCCCUUUCAAUAUUUCCUUUAACCUGGGUUUUGUGUUGCUGUAUUCUUUAAGUUUUUGUUUGUUGGGAAAAAUUUUUAUUUCCCCUUCUAUUUUAAAUGAUAUUCUUGCUGGAUAAAGUAUUCUAGGUUGCAUAUUUUUUCCUUUGAGCACUUUAAAUAUCUCUUGCCAUUCCCUCCUGGCCUGUAGUGUUUCUGUAGAGAAAUCAGCUGAUAUUCUUAUGGGGGUUCCCUUGUAGGUAACAUUCUGUUUUUCUCUUGCUGCCUUUAGGAUCCUCUCUUUAUCACUAACUUUUGCCAUUUUUAUUAUGAUGUGUCUUGGUGUGGGUCUGUUUGGGUUCAGUUUGUUUGGGGCCCUCUGUGCUUCUUGUAUCUUGAAUCCAGUAUCCUUUAGAUUUGGGAAGUUUCCAGCGAUAAUUUCUUCAAAUAUAUUUUCCAUUCCCUUAUCUUUUUCUACUCCUUCUGGAAUUCCUAUUAUGCGUAGAUUGGCUCGUUUUAUAUUAUCCCAUAGGUCUCUUAUAUUGCUUUCCAGUUUUUUGAUUCGGUUUUCUGUCUGUUGACCAGAUUGAGUGAUUUCCAUUAUUCUAUCUUCCAUAUCACUGAUUCGUUCUUCUGCAUUAUUCAUUCUGGUUUUUACUGCCCCUAGUUCAGUUUGCAUCUCUGCAAAUGAAUGUUCUAGUUUUUCUUGGCUCCUCCUUAUAUUUUCUAGCUCCUUUCUGAGGGUAUCUGCAUUGCUGUUCAUAUCUUCUCUUAAUUCCUUCAGUAUUUUCACUAUUUCUCUUUUGAACUCCAGGUCUGUCAGACUGCAGAGAUCAGUUUCAUUGUUGACUGUUUUAGGUGAGUUCUCCUGUUGGUUUGACUGGGGGUGGUUUCUCAGCUUCUUCAUCUUGCUUGUUGUCUUCUUUCUCCUGAGGGAGUUGUACUCUCCGUUAUCGGGUAGUGUUUGCCUUGUCACUGCCGUGGAAUAUUUCCUGAGGGCUGUCGUUGUUGGUCAAUCUUUUUUUUGAGGCAGUGUGGCUUUUCUGGAGUGUUGAUGGGACUAACAGUGUUUCUUUGAAGCAAAGGAGGACUUCCUGAGGGCAGACAGGACUGGGAGGUCCACCCCACGAUGGUAGCAGAUUUCACUUGGUUCUCAGCACCCCCUGGGGUCUUGGGCGGGUAGCAGGGCCCUUGGAGACUCAAGAGGUUCCUCCCCAGGGCAGCCCGAUUCAGAAAGACCGUCUGAGAUCUUUUCCCGAUUCCGCCAGGCUUGUUGCAGCUUUUCUGGGCUGCAGGGGGUCCUGCCUGGAGCUGGCAGUCCUAUGCAGCUGGUCCACUAGGUCUCAGCACCCCUUGGGGUCUUGGGCGAGUAGCAGGGCCUUUGGAGACUCAAGAGGCUCCUCCCCAGAACAGCCCGACUCAGAAAGACCGUCUGAGAUCUUUUCCCAAUUCGGCCAGGCUUGUUGCAGCUUUUCUGGGCUGCAGGGGGUCCUGCCUGGAGCUGGCAGUCCUAUGCAGCUGGUCCACUAGGUCUCAGCACCCCUUGGGGUCUUGGGCGGGUAGCAGGGCCCUUGGAGACUCAAGAGGCUCCUCCCCAGGGCAGCCCGAUUCAGAAAGACCGUUUGAGAUCUUUUCCCGAUUCGGCCAGGCUUGUUGCAGCUUUUCUGGGCUGCAGGGGGUCCUGCCUGGAGCUGGCAGUCCUAUGCAGCUGGUCCAAUAGGUCUCAGCACCCCCUGGGGUCUUGGGCGGGUAGCAGGGCCCUUGGAGGCUCAAGAGGCUCCUCCCCAGGACAGCCCGACUCAGAAAGACCGUCUGAGAUCUUUUCCCGAUUCCGCCAGGCUUGUUGCAGCUUUUCUGGGCUGCAGGGGGUCCUGCCUGGAGCUGGCAGUCCUAUGCAGCUGGUCCACUAGGUCUCAGCACCCCUUGGGGUCUUGGGCGGGUAGCAGGGCCCUUGGAGACUCAAGAGGCUCCUCCCCAGGACAGCCCGACUCAGAAAGACCGUCUGAGAUCUUUUCCCAAUUCGGCCAGGCUUGUUGCAGUUUUUCUGGGCUGCAGGGGGUCCUGCCUGGGGCUGGCAGUCCUAUGCAGCUGGUCCCCUAGGUCUUAGCACCCCCUGGGGUCUUGGGCGUGUAGCAAGGCCCUUGGAGACUCAAGAGGCUCCUCCCCGGGGGAGCCCGUCUCAGAAAAACCGUCGGAGAAUUAGGUCGAUCUAUUCACGGCCUGGCUAGGCUUGUUCUAGCUUUUCUGGGCUGCAGGCCUUUUCUAGGGGGCUGGUGGUGUUUGGUGCUGCUCUGUGGAAGUGUAGCCCCUCCAAAGGGCAAGCAGGCCUGUGCAGGGAGAGCCCCUGCGGUGGUAGGCUUCAGGCAAUUGUUGAGGCCAGCCCUCCUGGAUGGCAGGCAGCCCCAGUUUCGGCGAGAGCGUAGGGGGUGGCGGGGGUGGGGGGAGGGAAUGCACUGGGAAGCACAGCUUUCUGCUAGCUAGCGGGCCUGUAAGCUUGCUGUGGCGUGGGGGGUAUUCUAUGGGGACCCACCCCUUCUUCUCUCCCCUCCCCAGCACGGGCGCAGACCAGGCUCUUCUCCCAGGUUCCCUCUGAGGCGGCUUUCCACUUCCCCGCCCCUAGAGUAUUGCUCCCUUCCUCUGCGACAGCUUUGUUUUCUAGUCUCUCAGGCAGUCUCUGCCCCGUCAAAUGGUUUAGAGACCUCCCAAGCAGUUUCCGCUCUUCCCCGCCCCCCUAGCCCGGGGACUAAUCUCUGGAGCCGAGGUCUCGGUGCCCAGCCCCCACCCAGGCGGCGCCCCCCGGCCCUUUCUUGGGGACUAACCUUCGGAGGCGAGGUCUCGGUGCCCAGCCCCAACCCAGGCGUCCCCCGGCCCCCUCUCGGGGACCAACCUUCAGAGCUGAGGUCUCGGUGCCCAGCCCCCACCCAGGCGUCCCCCGGCCCUUUCCCGGGGACUAACCUCUGGAGCCGAGGAUUCGGUGCCCAGCCCCCACCCAGGCGUCUCAAUUUUUGGUGACUGUGCCCGUAGUUCAGAUGGUCCGUUGGGUUCUUGAUCGUUUUUCCGUACUCCGACUUACUGCUACACUCUUCUCUGCAUCUGGAGAUUCCUCCGGUUCGUUUGAUCUUUCCCCCGGUAGGAGACUUUCCAGGGUGCGGGAUCCCUUUCUCCUCCGCAGUUCCCUUUCGGGAGCGCCCGUCCCGCUCGGAUUCACCUUCUCUCACUCUCCUCUUUUCUCC